AUUUUUAAUUUGUGAUUUUUCGUUUUCUAUCAUGAAACCGUAUAAACUAAAGAAAAUUUGUUAAAAAAUAUGAAUUAUUUAAAUUUGUAUAUUUUACAUGACCUCUUUACAAAAGUUGUUAAAGGGGCAACACAUUGUUGUACUUAAUUAAGAGACAGCUAAUAAUUAUAAACAAAAAAUGGAAGUCUUUUCACAACUCUGAAAGUACUAUAAAAACUUUUUAUUAAUUGAUGUAAGGAGAACAAUAGCUUUAUAAAUCAAGACGUGAUAAACUACAAUUCUAUGUAAUACAUCCAAAAGGUGGAGAAAAUAUGGAUAAAAUUUUCAAGUUUGUUAAUGUUGUGAUAAUCAUUCUUUCCCUAUUAAUUGUUUCAAUACAAAGUCAGGUUUAUGCUGCCAAGCCAUGUAAAACUGAUGGUGAUUGUCGAGUCCGUUACUACCGUGCUUCCCAUCAAUAUCCUGUAAGAAUGAGGUGUCGUAAUGGUUUUUGUAUAGAAGGCUAAUUAUAAACGUAUUACUAAAAUAUUCCAUGAAUUCUUCUUUAGGUGAUGUGAUCACCCAUUAAAUAAUUUUUUUUUUAGCUUUUCAAAUUUCACGUACUUUAUUAGUUUUGUACUUUAAGAUGAUGCAAGCAAAAUGAAAUAAAGCAUGAAAAAUAUUAUCUAAA